AUUUUUAUAGUUGAACAACAACAGUAACUUUUCAUGCUACAAGUUUGGGUUAAAAUCCCAAUGAAAAUC
rnacentral:tRNA from 1 species